GACGAACGCUGGCGGGGGGAGGAACAAAGGCAAGUCGAACGGAAAGGCCCUGCUUUUGUGGGGUGCUCGAGUGGCGAACGGGUGAGUAACACGUGAGUAACCUGCCCUUGACUUUGGGAUAACUUCAGGAAACUGGGGCUAAUACCGGAUAGGAGCUCCUGCUGCAUGGUGGGGGUUGGACCGUUUCGGCGGUUGGGGAUGGACUCGCGGCUUAUCAGCUUGUUGGUGGGGUAGUGGCUUACCAAGGCUUUGACGGGGCGCCGGCCUGAGAGGGUGACCGGCCACAUUGGGACUGAGAUACGGCCCAGACUCCUACGGGAGGCAGCAGUGGGGAAUAUUGCACAAUGGGCGGAAGCCUGAUGCAGCAACGCCGCGUGCGGGAUGCCGGCCUUCGGGUUGUAAACCGCUUUCGCCUGUGACGAAGCGUGAGUGACGGUAAUGGGUAAAGAAGCACCGGCUCCCUACGUU
rnacentral:rRNA from 1 species